CGAGUUAUCUGAAAAACCUUCGGGGGACGAUAACGGCGUCGAGCGGCGGACGGGUGAGUAAUGCCUAGGAAUUGCCCUGAUGUGGGGGAUAACCAUUGGAAACGAUGGCUAAUACCGCAUGAUGCCUACGGGCCAAAGAGGGGGACCUUCGGGCCUCUCGCGUCAGGAUAUGCCUAGGUGGGAUUAGCUAGUUGGUGAGGUAAGGGCUCACCAAGGCGACGAUCCCUAGCUGGUCUGAGAGGAUGAUCAGCCACACUGGAACUGAGACACGGUCCAGACUCCCACCGGAGGCAACAAUGGGGAAUAUUGGAAAAUGGGCGCAAGCCUGAUGCAGCCAUGCCGCGUGUGUGAAGAAGGCCUUCGGGUUGUAAAGCACUUUCAGUCGUGAGGAAGGUAGUGUACGGUUAAUAGCUCUGCAUUAUUUGACGUUAGCGACAGAAGAAGCACCGGCUAACUCCGUGCCAGCAGCCGCGGUAAUACGGAGGGUGCGAGCGUUAAUCGGAAUUACUGGGCGGUAAAGCGCAUGCAGGUGGUUUGUUAAGUCAGAUGUGAAAGCCCGGGGCUCAACCUCGGAAUUGCAUUUGAAACUGGCAGACUAGAGUACUGUAGAGGGGGGUAGAAUUUCAGGUGUAGCGGUGAAAUGCGUAGAGAUCUGAAGGAAUACCCGGUGGCCGAAGGCGGCCCCCUGGACAGAUACUGACACUCAGAUGCGAAAGCGUGGGAGCAAACAGGAUUAGAUACCCUGGUAGUCCACGCCGUAAACGAUGUCUACUUGGAGGUUGUGGCCUUGAGCCGUGGCUUUCGGAGCUAACGCGUUAAGUAGACCGCCUGGGGAGUACGGUCGCAAGAUUAAAACUCAAAAGAAUUGACGGGGGCCCGCACAAGCGGUGGAGCAUGUGGUUUAAUUCGAUGCAACGCGAAGAACCUUACCUACUCUUGACAUCCAGAGAACUUUCCAGAGAUGGAUUGGUGCCUUCGGGAACUCUGAGACAGGUGCUGCAUGGCUGUCGUCAGCUCGUGUUGUGAAAUGUUGGGUUAAGUCCCGCAACGAGCGCAACCCUUAUCCUUGUUUGCCAGCGAGUAAUGUCGGGAACUCCAGGGAGACUGCCGGUGAUAAACCGGAGGAAGGUGGGGACGACGUCAAGUCAUCAUGGCCCUUACGAGUAGGGCUACACACGUGCUACAAUGGCGCAUACAGAGGGCGGCCAACUUGCGAAAGUGAGCGAAUCCCAAAAAGUGCGUCGUAGUCCGGAUUGGAGUCUGCAACUCGACUCCAUGAAGUCGGAAUCGCUAGUAAUCGUGGAUCAGAAUGCCACGGUGAAUACGUUCCCGGGCCUUGUACACACCGCCCGUCACACCAUGGGAGUGGGCUGCAAAAGAAGUA
rnacentral:rRNA from 1 species